GAUGAACGCUGGCGGCGUGCCUAAUACAUGCAAGUCGAGCGAACAGAUAAGGAGCUUGCUCCUUUGACGUUAGCGGCGGACGGGUGAGUAACACGUGGGUAACCUACCUAUAAGACUGGGAUAACUUCGGGAAACCGGAGCUAAUACCGGAUAACAUUUGGAACCGCAUGGUUCUAAAGUGAAAGAUGGUUUUGCUAUCACUUAUAGAUGGACCCGCGCCGUAUUAGCUAGUUGGUAAGGUAACGGCUUACCAAGGCGACGAUACGUAGCCGACCUGAGAGGGGGAUCGGCCACACUGGAACUGAGACACGGUCCAGACUCCUACGGGAGGCAGCAGUAGGGAAUCUUCCGCAAUAGGCGAAAGCCUGACGGAGCAACGCCGCGUGAGUGAUGAAGGGGUUCGGCUCGUAAAACUCUGUUAUUAGGGAAGAACAAAUGUGUAAGUAACUGUGCACGUCUUGACGGUACCUAAUCAGAAAGCCACGGCUAACUACGUG
rnacentral:rRNA from 1 species